UCGGGUCGUAAAAUUCUGUUGUCAGAGAAGAACGUGCGUGAGAGUAACUGUUCACGUAUUGACGGUAUCUGACCAGAAAGCCACGGCUAACUACGUGCCAGCAGCCGCGGUAAUACGUAGGUGGCAAGCGUUGUCCGGAUUUAUUGGGCGUAAAGGGAACGCAGGCGGUCUUUUAAGUCUGAUGUGAAAGCCUUCGGCUUAACCGAAGUAGUGCAUUGGAAACUGGAAGACUUGAGUGCAGAAGAGGAGAGUGGAACUCCAUGUGUAGCGGUGAAAUGCGUAGAUAUAUGGAAGAACACCAGUGGCGAAAGCGGCUCUCUGGUCUGUAACUGACGCUGAGGUUCGAAAGCGUGGGUAGCAAACAGGAUUAGAUACCCUGGUAGUCCACGCCGUAAACGAUGAGUGCUAAGUGUUGGAGGGUUUCCGCCC
rnacentral:rRNA from 1 species